CCUACGGGUGGCUGCAGUGGGGAAUAUUGCACAAUGGACGAAAGUCUGACGGAGCAACGCCGCGUGAGCGAAGAAGGUCUUCGGAUCGUAAAGCUCUGUUGUCAGGGAAGAACAAGUACCGAAGGAAAUGGCGGUACCUUGACGGUACCUGACGAGAAAGCCACGGCUAACUACGUGCCAGCAGCCGCGGUAAUACGUAGGGGGCAAGCGUUAUCCGGAAUCACUGGGUGUAAAGGGUGCGUAGGCGGUAGGGCAAGUCAGAUGUGAAAGCCCGGGGCUCAACCCCGGGAUUGCAUUUGAAACUGUCUUACUAGAGUGCAGGAGAGGAAAGCGGAAUUCCUAGUGUAGCGGUGAAAUGCGUAGAUAUUAGGAAGAACACCAGUGGCGAAGGCGGCUUUCUGGACUGUAACUGACGCUGAGGCACGAAAGCGUGGGGAGCGAACAGGAUUAGAUACCCUUGUAGUC
rnacentral:rRNA from 1 species